rnacentral:rRNA from 1 species
UACGAAGGGGGCUAGCGUUGUUCGGAAUUACUGGGCGUAAAGCGUAUGCAGGCGGACUUUUAAGUCGGGGGUGAAAUCCCGAGGCUCAACCUCGGAACUGCCUUCGAUACUGGAAGUCUUGAGUCCGGGAGAGGUGAGUGGAACUCCGAGUGUAGAGGUGAAAUUCGUAGAUAUUCGGAAGAACACCAGUGGCGAAGGCGGCCCACUGGCCCGGUACUGACGCUGAGAUACGAAAGCGUGGGGAGCAAACAGG